CCCACCUCAAAAUAAUUGACUUUGUUUGACCCCCAGGCUUGUCGCGAUGAAUCGCUUACUCAGGGAGGGAGGAGAUGUUUCUAACAAUGGAUCAAAUUGUUAAAAUUAGUCUAUCACAUUUACAGAAUGUAAACGCUACAGCAAGGCUUUGGAAUCUCCAAAUGCCAUGUAGAACGAGCACAACGGAUGAAGGAGGGGGGAGGAAAACGAACAGCUUCAUUCUACCACACCUUCACCAAGUCAUACAAUAUUUACUUCAUGAAUAAUUGUUACAUCAGAAAUAAAUACAGAAUUAUUUUAGUUUAUUCUGUUUCUAAUGUUUUUUUUAUGCUGGAUGUGAGUAAUUUAGCAGGUCUAUAGUAUAAUGUAUUGUUUUGAAACAUUUAAUAAAUAACCGAUUCAGUCAAAACUCAAUUAUUAUUUUAUGUUUUGCGAAAAUAAUGUGUGUUUUGUGCUGUUACUUUUGACACAGUGAAACAGUCUCCAUAGCUUUGAGCUAGACUGAUGGAGGAAAUGUCAACUGUAAAUGUCUACUACCGUUUUUAAAAUGCUGAUUGAAAUCAGCACCGUUUUAAAUAGUUUGUUGCUACUGUCUAGAGAUGAAAUGGGCAAUAUGGAAUACAUUGGAGGAGGAAGGGAGAAUUCAUGAGAAAUCAGAACUUGGACAAUGUAAAGGAAUGAGUAGGUAAAUGUACCGCCUAUCAAUUACAAAAGAAACGGUGCAGAUGUAGCCUUAAGAUACCAUUAGAUAUGUGCAUGUUAUGUACUGGACAGACGGCUAGCCAGCUAUUCUUGUCACACCCUGGCCAUAGAGAGGCUUUUAAUUCUCUAUUUUGGUUAGGCCAGGGUAUGACUAGGGUAGGCAUUCUAUGUUCGUUUUUCUAUGUUUGUGUAUUUCUAUGUGUUUGGCCUGGUAUGGUUCCCAAUCAGAGGCAGCUGUCAAUAGUUGUCUCUGAUUGAGAACCAUACUUAGGUAACCUGUUCCCACCUGUGUGUGUGGGUAGUUAAUUUCUGUUUAGUGUGUGUUGCACCUGACGGAGCGCUUUUGGUUGUCUCUUUGUUGUUUUUACAUUUUAGUGUUCAGUUUCGAAUAAACAUGACGAACACUUA